AGAUUAAGUUAUUAAGGGCGCACGGUGGAUGCCUUGGCACUAGAAGCCGAUGAAGGACGUUACUAACGACGAUAUGCUUUGGGUAGCUGUAAGUAAGCGUUGAUCCAGAGAUUUCCGAAUGGGGGAACCCAACAUGAGUGAUGUCAUGUUAUUGACAUGUGAAUUCAUAGCAUGUCAGAAGGCAGACCCGGAGAACUGAAACAUCUUAGUACCCGGAGGAAAAGAAAGAAAAAUCGAUUCCCUGAGUAGCGGCGAGCGAAACGGGAAGAGCCCAAACCAACAAGCUUGCUUGUUGGGGUUGUAGGACACUCUAUACGGAGUUACAAAAGAACAUGUUAGACGAAUCAUCUGGAAAGAUGAAUCAAAGAAGGUAAUAAUCCUGUAGUCGAAAACGUAUUCUCUCUUGAGUGGAUCCUGAGUACGACGGAGCACGUGAAAUUCCGUCGGAAUCUGGGAGGACCAUCUCCUAAGGCUAAAUACUCUCUAGUGACCGAUAGUGAACCAGUACCGUGAGGGAAAGGUGAAAAGUACCCCGAAAGGGGAGUGAAAGAGAACUUGAAACCGUGUGCUUACAAGUAGUCAGAGCCCGUUAAUGGGUGAUGGCGUGCCUUUUGUAGAAUGAACCGGCGAGUUACGAUCUGAUGCAAGGUUAAGCAGCGAAUGUGGAGCCGUAGCGAAAGCGAGUCUGAAUAGGGCGUUGAGUAUUUGGUCGUAGACCCGAAACCAGGUGAUCUACCCUUGGUCAGGUUGAAGUUCAGGUAACACUGAAUGGAGGACCGAACCGACUUACGUUGAAAAGUGAGCGGAUGAACUGAGGGUAGCGGAGAAAUUCCAAUCGAACUUGGAGAUAGCUGGUUCUCUCCGAAAUAGCUUUAGGGCUAGCCUCAAGUGAUGAUUAUUGGAGGUAGAGCACUGUUUGGACGAGGGGCCUCUCUCGGGUUACCGAAUUCAGACAAACUCCGAAUGCCAAUUAAUUUAACUUGGGAGUCAGAACAUGGGUGAUAAGGUCCGUGUUCGAAAGGGAAACAGCCCAGACCACCAGCUAAGGUCCCCAAAUAUAUGUUAAGUGGAAAAGGAUGUGGCGUUGCCCAGACAACUAGGAUGUUGGCUUAGAAGCAGCCAUCAUUUAAAGAGUGCGUAAUAGCUCACUAGUCGAGUGACACUGCGCCGAAAAUGUACCGGGGCUAAACAUAUUACCGAAGCUGUGGAUUGUCCUUCGGACAAUGGUAGGAGAGCGUUCUAAGGGCGUUGAAGCAUGAUCGCAAGGACAUGUGGAGCGUUUAGAAGUGAGAAUGCCGGUGUGAGUAGCGAAAGACGGGUGAGAAUCCCGUCCACCGAUUGACUAAGGUUUCCAGAGGAAGGCUCGUCCGCUCUGGGUUAGUCGGGUCCUAAGCUGAGGCCGACAGGCGUAGGCGAUGGAUAACAGGUUGAUAUUCCUGUACCACUUAGUAUCGUUUUAAUCGAUGGGGGGACGCAGUAGGAUAGGCGAAGCGUGCUGUUGGAGUGCACGUCUAAGCAGUAAGGCUGAGUGUUAGGCAAAUCCGGCACUCAUCAGGCUAAGCUGUGAUGGGGAGAGGAAAUUGUUUCCUCGAGUCGUUGAUUUCACACUGCCGAGAAAAGCCUCUAGAUAGAUAACAGGUGCCCGUACCGCAAACCGACACAGGUAGUCAAGAUGAGAAUUCUAAGGUGAGCGAGCGAACUCUCGUUAAGGAACUCGGCAAAAUGACCCCGUAACUUCGGGAGAAGGGGUGCUCUUUAGGGUUUACGCCCAGAAGAGCCGCAGUGAAUAGGCCCAAGCGACUGUUUAUCAAAAACACAGGUCUCUGCUAAACCGUAAGGUGAUGUAUAGGGGCUGACGCCUGCCCGGUGCUGGAAGGUUAAGAGGAGUGGUUAGCUUCUGCGAAGCCACGAAUCGAAGCCCCAGUAAACGGCGGCCGUAACUAUAACGGUCCUAAGGUAGCGAAAUUCCUUGUCGGGUAAGUUCCGACCCGCACGAAAGGCGUAACGAUUUGGGCACUGUCUCAACGAGAGACUCGGUGAAAUCAUAGUACCUGUGAAGAUGCAGGUUACCCGCGACAGGACGGAAAGACCCCGUGGAGCUUUACUGUAGCCUGAUAUUGAAAUUCGGCACAGCUUGUACAGGAUAGGUAGGAGCCAUUGAAACGUGAGCGCUAGCUUAUGUGGAGGCGUUGGUGGGAUACUACCCUAGCUGUGUUGGCUUUCUAACCCGCACCACUUAUCGUGGUGGGAGACAGUGUCAGGUGGGCAGUUUGACUGGGGCGGUCGCCUCCUAAAAGGUAACGGAGGCGCUCAAAGG
rnacentral:rRNA from 1 species